UCUAUAACUUAGAGAAUGUAGAUUUAUUUAUUGGCUAAAAUAUAUAUAAGGGACAUAAUUUAGUUUAAUGCACAGCAAAAUAUUUUAUUUAUUCUAAAGUAUUUCUCAAGUAAAAUUGUUUGGGAAUUUCUGUUUUCACAUUGAGAUAUUUAUGAAUGUAUAUUUGCAUGUGUCUCUGUGUGUGUAUAUAUAUAUAUAACAUGGGAUAGUCAUGGCUGGAAUACCUUUAAUCAUAGGUUUGUUCAAUCAGGGCUGACCUGGGGGUAAAUACCUUCCUACAUUAUUUGACACCAAUACGUAGGUGUGUGUAUAUGUGAGCAUGAGUGUGUAUUUAUAUGUAUGUAUGUAUGUUUGUGGAAGGCACCUGAUUUAAUGAUGACAGUAUUUGGCACACGAUCGUGAAGCCAUGGAUCCUAUUCCGGUGAUACAUUGUAUCCUUAAGCAAGACAUUUCAUUUUUCUUUGCUCCAGUUUACUCAGCUGGUAGAAAUGAGUUGUAUCUGUAAUUCAAAGGACCAGCCUUGUCAGAUU